AUUGAACGCUGGCGGCAUGCUUUACACAUGCAAGUCGAACGGCAGCGCGGGCUUCGGCCUCGCGGCGCGUGGCGAACGGGCGAGUAAUGCAUCGGAACGUGCCCAGCAGUGGGGGCUAGGACGGCGAAAGCAGGAUUAAUACCGCAUACGACCUGAGGGUGAAAGCGGGGGACCGAAAGGCCUAGCGCUAUUGGAGGUGCCGUUGUCGGAUUAGCUCGUUGGUGGGGUAAAGGCUUACCAAGGCGACGAUCCGUAGCUGGUCUGAGAGGGCGACCAGCCACACUGGAACUGAGACACGGCCCAGACUCCUACGGGAGGCAGCAGUGGGGAAUUUUGGACAAUGGGGGCAAGCCUGAUCCAGCCAUGCCGCGUGAGGGAAGAAGGCCUUCGGAUUGUAAACCGCUGUUAUUCGGGAAGAAAACCUCUGGACGAAAACCCCGAGGGGAUGACGGUACCGGAAGAGUAAGCACCGGCUAACUACGUG
rnacentral:rRNA from 1 species